rnacentral:rRNA from 1 species
UACGUAGGGGGCAAGCGUUGUCCGGAAUCAUUGGGCGUAAAGAGCGUGUAGGCGGCUUGGUAGGUCCGCUGUGAAAACUCGAGGCUCAACCUCGAGAUGUCGGCGGAAACCACUUGGCUAGAGUCCGGAAGAGGAGAGUGGAAUUCCUGGUGUAGCGGUGAAAUGCGCAGAUAUCAGGAAGAACACCUAUGGCGAAGGCGGCUCACUGGCCCGGUACUGACGCUGAUGUGCGAAAGCGUGGGGAGCAAACAGG